GAUGAACGCUGGCGGCGUGCCUAAUACAUGCAAGUCGAGCGAACAGACGAGGAGCUUGCUCCUUUGACGUUAGCGGCGGACGGGUGAGUAACACGUGGAUAACCUACCUAUAAGACUGGGAUAACUUCGGGAAACCGGAGCUAAUACCGGAUAACAUGUUGAACCGCAUGGUUCAACAGUGAAAGACGGUCUUGCUGUCACUUAUAGAUGGAUCCGCGCCGCAUUAGCUAGUUGGUAAGGUAACGGCUUACCAAGGCAACGAUGCGUAGCCGACCUGAGAGGGUGAUCGGCCACACUGGAACUGAGACACGGUCCAGACUCCUACGGGAGGCAGCAGUAGGGAAUCUUCCGCAAUGGGCGAAAGCCUGACGGAGCAACACCGCGUGAGUGAAGAAGGUCUUCGGAUCGUAAAACUCUGUUAUUAGGGAAGAACAAAUGUGUAAGUAACUAUGCACGUCUUGACGGUACCUAAUCAGAAAGCCACGGCUAACUACGUG
rnacentral:rRNA from 1 species